GCCGAGCUUCCAGCUGCCAUAAAUGUGGCUCCAGCCACAUCUUCACUGAGAUGAAGCCGCUGUGGAGGAGAAGGCACAAACAGGAAAUGUCAAAGAUUCAAGUUUGUGCUUCAUCACAUCACUGAAUAUGCAAAUUCAUGUUACCCUGAAAUAUCUAUUCAAUACCAUCUGUUACAUGUGUUUGCCAUUAACCAAAUGCUGUCCAGCUGUGAAGCGUUGUUAUUCUCUGGGAAUGAACAAGAAUUCCACUGAACAGUGGAGGGGCAGUGGAAAAUAUAUAAAAAAUAACAAACAUGUGUGGACGGUUUCUUUCCAUGAUGCGGAGGAAGACAGAAGCCCUGUGUGCUUUGCCGCUGCUAUGAGCCUCACCCCAGCUUUCAGAUGAUGUCCAAAGAAUGAAGCCAGUAUUUCCACUUGUGAAGAAGUGGUGUCACCACUAAAGACCAGUCCUAUGUGAGGUGAUGCUAUGUGCCUGCGAUGCCUGUGUGCCUGGCAGGUAAUACUUCACGGUGAAGUCAGCCUAAAAUGUACUGACAUGCUCUGGAGUGGAACUUGAAGCCCCCCACCAUCUUGAUGGCUCACGAGCUGACGGCGUUGGCCACUGCCACUGAGACACAGAUAAGGUGAAGAUUCUAGAUCAUGUGAAAUCCUGGAUAUUUUGCAAGAAAACAGUUUGGGCAUCCUUGUAUCAUCUGCACUGAUCUACAUAAUGCUGCCAGUAUUCUGGUGCUGCUUUGCCAAUCUCUAAAAGACUAAAGAUGGCAAGUGGAAUAACAACAGGAAAACAUUCACACUAAUUCAUAAUAAGUUAAACCAAAGCCAGUUCACAAAAAGGAACAAAAAUGUUGCCAGAGAAGCAGAGAAUGCUGAAAAUACUCAGCAGGUAAGUUAGCAUCUGUCAAUAUGUGAUAAAAUUUAUGUUCCCAAUCAAUGAAUCUUCUGUGGACAAUUGUAUUGCUUUCUUCUCCGCAGAUGCUGUCUGACUUGCUGUGUUUCCAGCAUUUUGUUUUAUUUCAGAUUUCUAUCAUCUAGUUUUUGUUUGCUUUUCAAAAAAAAACCCACAACAGUCCACUGGAGCAGAAUCUACAGUAAUAUUCAACUUUUAAGUCACUGCAGAACAUACCGGUUCACAGGAAUAUAAUCAAUUACGUUUCUGACACCUAGUCAUAGGAACAGGUAACAGGCCAAAUAACUCUAAACCUGAGAUUCCUGUUUUAAGGAGUGCUGAACAUAGCAUCUUUAUUUUCUAGUUGGCACUGAAGCCAAUUUCUCAUGACAAUACUAAUGCUCAGCACUUGAUUUAGUUCAUUGCAGAGCCAACUAUGACUCCAAGUGUAAAUUUUAUUUGGUUUUAAAAUUGAUAUCCACCCACAAACUUACUUAAUUUCCAAACCCUGGAUUUAGCACAAUGAUAGAAGUGUUUAAUAAAGCAAAUGAAUUCACUCUUUAACAACAUUAAGAACAAUGAUAGAAAAUUCAUCUGUUCUGUCACUAAUUUAGAUUAACUCCAUGCACUCUGAAACCCUCAUCCAGUCAAAACCUAUCAAACCAUGUCUUCAACUCUUCAAAUGCCCUCCAGCAACCACUUCCUAGUGGAAAAAAACCUCCCAUUUCAAUCGGAACUAUCCACUUUCUCUUAAAAGAAAUAUCAGAAUAACUCAGAUUUGAGAAUCAUGUCAAUGACCAGUCAGUUUCCUUUGACAAAAAUAAACCUGGAAACUUUGGUUUUUUUUGGUGUUUUAUUUGAAACUUUAUUCCCCACAGAGUUCCUCUGGUACUUUUUGAGUCGCUCCAGAAUCCAGCAUGUGCAGUCUCUUGUAUCUCCAAAGUCUUAUCACAUGCUUCCAUCACACUCUCUACCAAUCU